rnacentral:rRNA from 1 species
UACGUAGGGUGCAAGCGUUGUCCGGAAUUAUUGGGCGUAAAGAGCUCGUAGGCGGUCUGUCGCGUCGGCUGUGAAAACUCGGGGCUCAACCCCGAGCCUGCAGUCGAUACGGGCAGACUAGAGUGCUGUAGGGGAGACUGGAAUUCCUGGUGUAGCGGUGAAAUGCGCAGAUAUCAGGAGGAACACCGGUGGCGAAGGCGGAUCUCUGGGCCUUACCUGACGCUGAGGAGCGAAAGCAUGGGGAGCAAACAGG